GGAUCGUUGGUGUAGUGGUCAGCAUUCAGCCCUUCCAAGGCUGCGGGUCGGGUUCGAACCCCGGACGAUUCA